rnacentral:rRNA from 1 species
UAGGGAAUCUUCCGCAAUGGGCGAAAGCCUGACGGAGCAACGCCGCGUGAGUGAUGAAGGUCUUCGGAUCGUAAAACUCUGUUAUUAGGGAAGAACAAAUGUGUAAGUAACUAUGCACGUCUUGACGGUACCUAAUCAGAAAGCUACGGCUAACUACGUGCCAGCAGCCGCGGUAAUACGUAGGUGGCAAGCGUUAUCCGGAAUUAUUGGGCGUAAAGCGCGCGUAGGCGGUUUUUUAAGUAUGAUGUGAAAGCCCACGGCUCAACCGUGGAGGGUCAUUGGAAACUGGAAAACUUGAGUGCAGAAGAGGAAAGUGGAAUUCCAUGUGUAGCGGUGAAAUGCGCAGAGAUAUGGAGGAACACCAGUGGCGAAGGCGACUUUCUGGUCUGUAACUGACGCUGAUGUGCGAAAGCGUGGGGAUCAAACAGG